GAAUCUGCCAGCAGGGUGGAACUGGAUGCUCUGACUCAGGGGGAGUCUUCCACUUUUGUCCCUCUGGUGCUCAAGACUCUUGAAGAACUUCAGAAGGAGCAGAAGGAAAUCCGAGCUAGAUUGGAUCAACAGGAUACAAUCAACGUCAACAUUCAGAAUCUGCUGACCCAGCUGCUUCAGAGGAUGCCUCCACCUCCCAACCCUUAGGCACUUAGGCUUUUCCUUUGCUGAUUUGCUUGUUGCUUUCUGAUUUUGUUGUUCUUGCUUUCUGCUGC
rnacentral:lncRNA from 1 species